CGCGCAGGCGGCUGGUCAAGUCCGAUGUGAAAGCUCCCGGCUUAACUGGGAAAUUGCAUCGGAAACUGAUCGGCUGGAAGGUGGGAGAGGGUAGCGGAAUUCCCGGUGUAGUGGUGAAAUGCGUAGAUAUCGGGAGGGAACACCAGUGGCGAAAGCGGCUACCUGGCCCAUUCUUGACGCUGAGGCGCGAAAGCUAGGGGAGCAAACGG
rnacentral:rRNA from 1 species